rnacentral:rRNA from 1 species
UACGGGGGGUGCGAGCGUUGUCCGGAAUCACUGGGCGUAAAGGGCGCGUAGGUGGCCCGGUCAGUUCGUGGUGAAAGCGCGGGGCUCAACCCUGCGUCGGCCAUGAAUACUGCCGCGGCUGGAGCACUGUAGAGGCAGGCGGAAUUCCGGGUGUAGCGGUGGAAUGCGUAGAGAUCCGGAAGAACACCGGUGGCGAAGGCGGCCUGCUGGGCAGUUGCUGACACUGAGGCGCGACAGCGUGGGGAGCAAACAGG